rnacentral:rRNA from 1 species
AAAGAAAAUAGUUCAGCACUAAGUCACUUUGUCUUUAUGGCAAAUGUGAGAUGCAGUGUAUGGAGCAUCAAUAUUCUAGUAUGAGAAAUUAAUGAUUUAAGUCCUUCUUAAAUGAGGCCAUUUACCCAUAGAGGGUGCCAGGCCCGUAUAACGUUAAUGAUUACUAGAUGGUGUUUCCAAAGAGUCGUGUUGCUUGAUAGUGCAGCACUAAGUGGGUGGUAAACUCCAUCUAAAACUAAAUAUAACCAUGAGACCGAUAGUAAACAAGUACCGUGAGGGAAAGUUGAAAAGAACUCUGAAUAGAGAGUUAAAUAGUACGUGAAACUGCUUAGAGGUUAAGCCCGAUGAACCUGAAUAUCCAUUAUGGAAAAUUCAUCAUUAGAGUUUUAAUAUUUUAAUAAUAUUAUAAUAAUAGUGUGCAUUUUUUCCAUAUAAGGACAUUGUAAUCUAUUAACAUAAACCAAAUUUAUCAUAAAAUAUGACUUAUAGUUUAUUUAAAUUAUUUUGCUUGCAUUUUAACAUAGAAUAAAUGUCAUUAAUUUGAUAAAGUGUUGAUAGAUUUAUAUGAAUACAGUGCGUUAAUUUUUCGGAAUUAUAUAAUAGCAUGAUUAUCAUUGAUUUUCUGUGUUUAUUAUAUGCACUUGUAUGAUUAA